CCUUGUAUAAUCCUUCCCCGGGCCUCACCUGGUGUCGGAGCUUCUAGCACUUGGUCUGUCUUUUUUUUGUACUGCUUAGUAACCUGGAAAUGUACACCUUACCUGAUAGUGCAGAGGUGUCACUUGGAAUGGAUGGUGUUGCUUGAAGGCGGAGCAAAAACCAACAUGUGGAAGGUGGUGCUGAGGUUCUCAACCUGGGGCUUGCUUGCAACUGCAACCGGCCAACAAACCAACAGCUACGGGUGAACCAUCUCACUGAUCCUUCCACUGCACUGCAUCUUUGACUCAUGGGUAUAUAUGCCAGGCCAUAGGCACCAUAUGUCCACUGAUCUCUGAUACUCAGCAGAGGCAACACUGUGAAGCUUCCAAGCCCAAGCAAUAGCAUGGCUCCCUUCAACAAUGGCAGGUCAUGCUUCGUUGCAGAUGAGGAUGUUUCCAAGGGCUUGGAAACAGCGUCCUUCAAAAGAUCUACCGACACAGAGCUCGACACGAGCAAGUGUGAACAAAGAAUCAGCAGAGUGGCAGCGGGGAAGCUUGACAGAUCGCUCGUCCCACAGAUAUGGAUAGCUUCCUAAAUUGGCUUCAGAAUCCGGACAAGCUCGAAAUGAACGGACAGAAUUAACCCGGUGGGAUCAAAACUAGAAGCCACCGACACCGACAGCACUAACUAAACUGGAAUGGGCAUUUGACCCGCGCGCUGAGCAGAACCGUGCGACCGCCUCGAUCUCAGCGAUGCUCCGCGGCGAUCGGGAUCCGUAUACCGAGUCGCCGGCUCCCGGCACGACGACGAGGCACGAGAAAGAGAGAGAGGGAGAAGGACCGGGCGGGCGGGAAGGAGGGGAGCUAGCCAAACCUGUGGUGGCCGGUGCGGAGAAGAAGAGCACCGCCGCGAGCAGCACGGCGCAGCAGGCCGCGGAUCUGGAGCUCCCGGCGACGCCACCAACCGGCGCCAUUUUUCCUGCCCCGCUGCUCCUCCACCGACACUCUCCAGCAGCUGCUGCACCUACCCACCCACCGAUCCCCGCUCCGCUCCGUGCGGCGAGGAAUGCGGCCGCGCCCGCCGAUGAAGGGGGGGAGCUGGAGAUCUGAGGCGACUGAGCAGGCGGUGGUGGUGGAGCAGGAGGGAGUGGGACUUAAAGCAUGUGCGGCCGCGGCCGUCUCCCCAGUUUUUACUGCGACGAGACGAGACGCGCUCCGUCUGCGAGUCUGCUCUGCUCCCUCACGGACGCUUCCUUGCGCGCCUCGGUGGGAAUUAUAUCGCGGGGAGGGGGCGCCUUUUUUUUCUCCCCCGCGGAUGUGACGGCCCAACCUCCGAGGUGGUUCGGACCGAAAUGCCCUCCGCUCGUACAGCUGUUCCCUAUUGGGCGAUGGAUGUCACUCGUCGGGAGCUGGGACAGGGACUGCGACCGACCUCUGCCCCGGCCAUGGCGCUCGGGAGUGGGGUGUUUGGAUGUGUGUUCCGGAGAUCCUUCUGCAUGAGCGAACUUUGCUAAAUCUGAUCUGACAAAGUCCGAUGCCAAAACAUAGCACAUGUUUGAAACAAAAGCACUACUACUAGCCAUGCUCAGUUCUGCAUCAGCAAACUUUGCUAAAUCUGACAAAGCUUGGUGUCAAAAUACUAGACAUGUUCUCCAACACAACUCGGAGAGACGAUCUGUGGCGCGUAGGGGCGGGGGCACGCAUGCAUGACUGCGUUGAGAUUCGGAAUGUGGUUUUAUGAUUACAGUUUAAUGAAUGAAUGCAGCUUUUGGUACGUAUAAUUUUUGUCGGAGAGUGUGGGCCCCGCACACCCCGCCUCUAAUGUUUUUCCUUUUGACUUGUAAAUUUGAAUCUAUUAUAUCGUUUGAACAAAAAGUCUAAUUUAUAUCGCAUUUGCAUAUUCAUGUUCCUUGUGAUGAGGGCUUUGAAACAAGCUCACUUUUGAAUACGUUUUGACAAGCUUUAAGAAACGCAACAGGUUUCAACUACUAAAACUUGAUAGAGCAAAUGAUAAAUCCAGACGAUUUCAAA